rnacentral:rRNA from 1 species
UGGGGAACCUGCCCCAUAGUCUGGGAUACCACUUGGAAACAGGUGCUAAUACCGGAUAAGAAAGCGGAUCGCAUGAUCAGCUUUUAAAAGGCGGCGUAAGCUGUCGCUAUGGGAUGGCCCCGCGGUGCAUUAGCUAGUUGGUAAGGUAAAGGCUUACCAAGGCGAUGAUGCAUAGCCGAGUUGAGAGACUGAUCGCCACAUUGGGACUGAGACACGGCCCAAACUCCUACGGGAGGCAGCAGC